rnacentral:rRNA from 1 species
ACUGAAUGGGCUAGGGCAUACACCAAUGUACCAAACCCUAUCAAACUCCGAAUACUUAUAGCGUAACCACGGCAGUCAGGCGGCGAGUGAUAAAAUCCGUCGUCAAGAGGGAAACAACCCGGACUAACAGCUAAGGUCCCCAAAUCUCAUUUAAGUGGAAAACGAUGUGAAGUUACUGAAACAACCAGGAGGUUGGCUUAGAAGCAGCCAUCCUUUAAAGAUAGCGUAAUAGCUCACUGGUCUAGUGAUUUUGCGCGGAAAAUAUAACGGGGCUAAAAUGAGUACCGAAGCUUUAGACUUGCACUUAAUCAUUUAUACUAGCUCGUCUUUUGGCGAUAAAUUAAUGAGUUCGAUUUUUUCUCAAUCGAUAGGCUAAAAGCCUUAUCUCAAUCGAAAAAAUCUUCACAACAUUAAUUUCUCAUCCAAAAUACUUCGCUUUCUAUAUUCAAAUUUUAAAGAUUUCGAACUUUGUUAAUUUUAAAAUUUUUUAGAAUUUUAAAAUCCCAACUUAGAUAUUUAAAAUUUAACAACCAAGAAGCGAAGAAAGACAAACAAAACUUUAAGAUAUCGGAUAAAUUCUUAAAUAUCUUAAGUUUUAAAUUUAAACAAAGCCGCAAGAAAAGUAUAAAUCAUUAAGUGCAAGUGGUAGGAGAGCGUUCCAAUCAGCGUCGAAGCCGUACCGGUAAGGAGCGGUGGAGCGGUUGGAAGUGAGCAUGCAGGCAUGAGUAGCGAUAAAAUACGUGAGAAUCGUAUUCGCCGUAAACCCAAGGUUUCCUACGCGAUGCUCGUCAUCGUAGGGUUAGUCGGGUCCUAAGCAAAGUCCGAAAGGGGUAUGCGAUGGAAAAUCGGUUAAUAUUCCGAUACCGAUAUCAGUGUGCGACGGAAGGACGCUUAAAGUUAGUGGAGCUAGCGGAUGGAAGUGCUAGUCUAAGGAAGUAGGUUGAGUUAUAGGCAAAUCCGUAACUCUUUAUCCGAGAUCUGAAAGGCUUCUGACGCUCUUCGGAGUAGAUGAAGAAUCCAUGAUACUAUCGAGCCGAGAAAAGUUUCUAAGUUUAGCUGAUAUCGCCCGUACCGUAAACCGACACAGGUGGGUGGGAUGAGUAUUCUAAGGCGCGUGGAAGAACUCUCUUUAAGGAACUCUGCAAAAUAGCACCGUAUCUUCGGUAUAAGGUGUGCCUAGCUUCGUUAAGAAUUUACUUCGUAAGCGAAGAAGGUUACAACAAAGAGUCCCUCCCGACUGUUUACCAUAAACACAGCACUCUGCUAACUCGUAAGAGGAUGUAUAGGGUGUGACGCCUGCCCGGUGCUCGAAGGUUAAUUGAUGACGUUAGCUCUGCGAAGCGUUUGAUCGAAGCCCGAGUAAACGGCGGCCGUAACUAUAACGGUCCUAAGGUAGCGAAAUUCCUUGUCGAUUAAAUAUCGACCUGCAUGAAUGGCGUAACGAGAUGGGAGCUGUCUCGAAGAGGGAUCCAGUGAAAUUGUAGUGGAGGUGAAAAUUCCUCCUACCCGCGGCAAGACGGAAAGACCCCGUGGACCUUUACUAUAGCUUGACACUGCUACUUGGAUAAAGAUGCGCAGGAUAGGUGGGAGGCUUCGAUUCGUAGAUCUCGGUUUACGAUGAGCCAUUGUUGAGAUACCACUCUUCUUUAUUCGGGUAGCUAACUAGCCUAAGUUAUCCUUAGGUAGGACAAUGUCUGGUGGGUAGUUUGACUGGGGCGGUCGCCUCCCAAAAUGUAA